GAAGAAGAACAAGAUCCUGUUAAAGACAACCUUACAACCUGGUUCAACACAACGUCUGUGAAGCUUUUUCUUGCUGCUGCAGAGGAGAUAAAGAUUGCCAUGAUGAUAGCAAACAUUCGUGACAGAUAGGCACAUAAGAAGAAGAAUUUGACUCAAAAUGAACUGCAAUCAUAAACUGCUUUCAGACAAUCAAAUUAAUAACGUUCUUAAUAUUUUAAAAUUACCUGGUAGGAAUCAAAUACUAUUUUUAUUUACUCAAAACAUUUACAGUUGGUAAUGUGCAAUAUUUGUUCUCAGAUAACACAAACACUUGAAACAGAUUAUCUAAUCCUAAAAAAUAUAUCUUUUGUUUUAAAUUGUAUGUUUAUGAAUUUGUUACUCAUAAAACUGAUAAGCUCAUUUCAUUAUAAAUAUACAGCAGCAUAUUUUAGAAUACAAAUUUAGGAGUUAUAUAAAACUAUAUUUGAACAAGGCCGAUUUUUAGGCUACUAAAGAUAAAAAAGAGAAGUAGAGUGUAAAGGUUUGUUGAGGCAGGUUAUUUCAGGUACGAUUAAUUACAGGGACCCGAUCCGUCAACUGUCAGUGUCAGUUAAAUUGAUUCACACGUGGUAUUUGUGACAGUGACAUUUGAUAGACGUCAAGUUUUAUUUUUGUUUGGAAUAUUUAUAUUGUUUGUAUUUUCUACAAAAUGGUAAUGUAAUGUGUUGGGUAUCCGAAUGGUUAUCAUUGAUAUUGAAAUCUGCAGAACAGAGUAAAACUACUCAUUUAUGUUCCUGGUCCCUGCUACUUUUAUAAAGGAGAUAAAGAAAAUCUUCUCACCAUAUUUUCAUGAAGAUUCUGAAGAAAUGCAGUAGUACUAUCUUUAUGCAAACUACAAGUACGAGCAUUAAAUCUCAGAAAUGUUUACCACUGUUUUUUUUUGUUUUAUUCCAUGGAUUGUAGAUGUAGACCCUCUACAUCUUCAUUACCACUUGAAAGUCAACCAGAAUCAUCUCAUUCAAGUGGUAUCACAUCAAGUAGUGCACAACAAGACACCGAAAUGUAUUUUCUUGAAUAAGAGAAUACUCAGCUGAAACUAAAAUUAGAUAAUUUGUCAAAUAUAGAUUUCCAUUUCAGUAUAUCAAGAACGAUCACAAUUUAGUGCAAGUGUACAUUUGAAUAACAACUACUGUAUAUUGAAAUAUUGUUUAAUAUUUAAUAUGCUAAGUAAUAUUCAGUUGAAUAUUAUCAUGGAUGGGUGAAAUAUCACCGUUUUAACAAAAAAAGGAAUGUGUUGUAUUUUGUACGCACC